CCUACGGGAGGCAGCAGUGGGGAAUCUUGCACAAUGGGCGAAAGCCUGAUGCAGCAACGCCGCGUGCGGGAAGAAGGCCCUAGGGUUGUAAACCGCUUUCAGUAGGGAAGAAAAUGACGGUACCUACAGAAGAAGGUGCGGCCAACUACGUGCCAGCAGCCGCGGUGACACGUAGGCACCAAGCGUUAUCCGGAUUUAUUGGGCGUAAAGAGCUCGUAGGCGGUUUGGUAAGUCGGGUGUGAAAACUCUGGGCUCAACCCAGAGACGCCACCCGAUACUGCUAUGACUAGAGUACGGUAGGGGAGCGGGGAAUUCAUGGUGUAGCGGUGAAAUGCGCAGAUAUCAUGAGGAACACCAGCGGCGAAGGCGCCGCUCUGGGCCGUAACUGACGCUGAGGAGCGAAAGCAUGGGUAGCAAACAGGAUUAGAUACCCUGGUAGUCCAUGCCGUAAACGUUGGGCACUAGGUGUGGGUCUCAACCAACGAGAUCCGCGCCGUCGCUAACGCAUUAAGUGCCCCGCCUGGGGAGUACGGUCGCAAGACUAAAACUCAAAGGAAUUGACGG
rnacentral:rRNA from 1 species